rnacentral:tRNA from 1 species
GCCGAGGUAGCUCAACGGUAGAGCAACUGUUUUGUAAACAGUAGGUUGGGGGUUCGAUUCCUCUCCUCGGCUCCA